CUGCCUACGGGACGCAGCAGUGAGGAAUAUUGGUCAAUGGCCGGAAGGCUGAACCAGCCAAGCCGCGUGAAGGACGAAGGUCCCAAGCAUUGUAAACUUCUUUUGUCAAGGGACAAAAUCAGGCUCGCGAGCCUGACCGAGGGUACUUGAAGAAAAAGCAUCGGCUAACUCCGUGCCAGCAGCCGCGGUAAUACGGAGGAUGCGAGCGUUAUCCGGAUUUAUUGGGUUUAAAGGGUGCGCAGGCGGACUGUUAAGUCAGCGGUAAAAACCCG
rnacentral:rRNA from 1 species